rnacentral:rRNA from 1 species
AUGGAGGCCGAGACGGCGGCGAAGAGGGCGCGGGAGAACGAGGGCGCUGCGGCGGCGGACGGAGCCGGGGAGCAGGCGGGGAUCUCCGCCGUCAUCCCCGGAUGGUUCUCCGAGAUCAGCCCCAUGUGGCCCGGCGAGGCGCACUCGCUCAAGGUGGAGAAGGUCCUGUUCCAAGGCAAGUCGGACUACCAAGACGUGCUGGUUUUCCAGUCCUCCACCUACGGGAAGGUGCUCGUCCUGGAUGGGGUGAUCCAGGUGACCGAGAGGGACGAGUGCGCCUACCAGGAGAUGAUCACCCACCUCCCUCUCUGCUCAAUCAAAGACCCCAAGAAGGUCCUGGUCAUCGGGGGC